rnacentral:rRNA from 1 species
GAAUUCACUAGUGAUUUCUGGUUGAUCCUGCCAGACCCGACUGCUAUCAGAGUGGGACUAAGCCAUGCGAGUCGACGUAGCAAUACGUGGCGAACGGCUCAGUAACACGUAGUCAACAUGCCCAGGGGACGUGGAUAAUCUCGGGAAACUGAGAAUAAACCACGAUAGGUCACGAUUUCUGGAAUGGAUCUUGGCUUAAAUCUACAUGGCCCCUGGAUUGGACUGCGGCCGAUCAGGCUGUUGGUGAGGUAAUGGCCCACCAAACCUAUAACCGGUACGGGCUCUGAGAGGAGGAGCCCGGAGAUGGGCACUGAGACAAGGGCCCAGGCCCUAUGGGGCGCAGCAGGCGCGAAACCUCUGCAAUAGGCGAAAGCCUGACAGGGUUACUCUGAGUGAUUUCCGCUAAGGGGAUCUUUUGGCACCUCUAAAAAUGGUGCAGAAUAAGGGGUGGGCAAGUCUGGUGUCAGCCGCCGCGGUAAUACCAGCACCCCGAGUGGUCGGGACGAUUAUUGGGCCUAAAGCAUCCGUAGCCGGUUCUGCAAGUCUUCCGUUAAAUCCAGCCGCUCAACGGAUGGGCCGCGGAGGAUACUAUAGGACUAGGAGGCGGGAGAGGCAAGCGGUACUCAGUGGGUAGGGGUAAAAUCCUUUGAUCCAUUGAAGACCACCAGUGGCGAAGGCGGCUUGCCAGAACGCGCUCGACGGUGAGGGAUGAAAGCUGGGGGAGCAAACCGGAUUAGAUACCCGGGUAGUCCCAGCUGUAAACGAUGCAGACUCGGUGAUGGGCUAGCCUUGUGCCAGCCCAGUGCCGCAGGGAAGCCGUUAAGUCUGCCGCCUGGGAGUACGGUCGCAAGACUGAAACUUAAAGGAAUUGGCGGGGGAGCACCACAAGGGGUGAAGCCUGCGGUUCAAUUGGAUUCAACGCCGGGAAUCGAAUUCCCGCGGCC